CGCUGUCAUCAUCCAAUCACAGCGCUCCAACAAACCGCGGGAGAAUUAAACUAACCGGCGGUGAAGGAGGAGAAACGCCGGCUUUAUCCAGAUUUAUCCAGCUCUAUCUAAGGCCGACUGACUGGUCGACGGUACCUGUGUUUGUUUGUGACGGAUCCGCGGUAAAACCCGGAGCGGAGUAUUCAGGUGUAUCUCUCUUUCUGUGGCUGUGUACUGGGCUGGACUGGACUGGAAUAGACUGGACUGGAUUAGACUGCACUGGACUGGACUGUUUUGGGUUGUGGGUAAAACAAAGUGGACUCCCUGCAGAGUGGACUGAACUCUGAACUCUGAACUCUGAGGCUGUGGGACUAACACAUCAGAUUAAAUGCUCUUAUUAGA